GGAAGGACUCCCCUCAUCCCCAGCCAAGUUCCAGAAGCAAUAUACAAGAGGCAGGAACUCAAAGGAACAGCACAGCCAUCUUGGCGAAAGCAUCUUUGGCUCCCUGCAGGUGUCAGCCAGGAGGGAAAAGAAAGAAGGUGAGUGGACUUGGAAUGCUGAGUCCAGGCUCCAGUUCAGGAGGCACGAGGACACCCCAAGUGAAGAACCCUCAGGAUGCAGACCCCAUACUCCCUGACCUGGGCUGCUGCCCUCGCCCAGCACCAGAGUAUUCUCACCUGGGGAGUUGAAGACAGGAGGCGCAGUGAAAGACGAAAAUGAAGACCCCCUGGAAGGCGUUGAAGGUGGUGAAGAGAUAGGCCAUGACUACUGACUCCUUGUUGAUGAAGAGGAGGCCGAAAGCCCAG